rnacentral:rRNA from 1 species
CCUACGGGUGGCAGCAGUGAGGAAUAUUGGUCAAUGGGCGCAAGCCUGAACCAGCCAAGUCGCGUGAGGGAUGACGGUCCUAUGGAUUGUAAACCUCUUUUGUCGGGGAGCAAGGCCCGCCACGUGUGGCGGGAAGGAGAGUACCCGCAGAAAAAGCAUCGGCUAACUCCGUGCCAGCAGCCGCGGUAAUACGGAGGAUGCGAGCGUUCUCCGGAUUUAUUGGGUUUAAAGGGUGCGUAGGCGGAAGGUUAAGUCAGCGGUAAAAUGUCGGUGCUCAACACCGGCCUGCCGUUGAAACUGAUGGUCUUGAGUGGGCGAGAGGUAUGCGGAAUGCGUGGUGUAGCGGUGAAAUGCAUAGAUAUCACGCAGAACUCCGAUUGCGAAGGCAGCAUACCGGCGCCCAACUGACGCUGAAGCACGAAAGCGUGGGUAUCGAACAGGAUUAGAUACCCUAGUAGUC